UGCCCAAUGGUUGGACCUCAUAAGUGUGAGAUAGAGCUAAGGCUUUGAGGCUAAACCCUUCUGCCUCUUCUUCACUAUCUUCUAUUUCUUGGUAUUCGUGGAGAUGUUGGUGUUUGGGAAUGGAUUCUCGUUUUCUUCUAGAACUAGUUUUGUUUCUUGCUUUGGUUUUGGCCUUUAGAUUCUUCUUCCUUAUGGCUUUAGACAAAAAGUUUCUGCAGCGUAACAUAGUAGCCUUCCUCCUUCAACUUCAAAGAGGAUCCGCUGAUGGAGGUAGCUGCCUGUGAGCCUAUAACCUGUGACUCUGACAGCUG
rnacentral:misc_RNA from 1 species